rnacentral:lncRNA from 1 species
GUUGACCUGAUAUAGAUAGAGAUGUGUUGGUCUGACAGUGCGAUUUGAGGUAAGUUGCUUGGUCUGAGGGGCUACUUAAGAAAGAAACAAGAUAUUGAUUCACUGUUAUAGUGAGUAUUUUAUUAUUACAAGUAUUUCUGAUUUGUUGAGGUUGACCUGAGGUAAUGUGUUUUCUUCUGUACAAUAAAAUAAUGGUACACCUCAACAAACUAGACAAAGAGGUACAUGUAUAAUGAUCUACCACUUUACAAACAAGGGGGCACCAUGAAGGGACUGGAGAAUGACCAAGCCUUUCAUCAUACUGCUUCUGUUCACUAUGGUAUAUUAGGUGAUGAUGUGAAAUGACUUUUUAACAAACAAAAAGGAUAAAAUCAUAAUUUAAGCAUUUAGAAUUCUCCAGAUUCCCUUCAAAUGGGCCCCCACUGAUUUUGACAAUUAAAAAAAAGCAAAACAUGAUGGAAAUAAAAAACAAGAUGCAAAAGAAGAGACACAUAAAAAUAUUGUGUAUUUUGACUCCUGAAUCCAGUGACCUUGAUUCUUGAAUCAGUGACCUUGACUCUUGAAUCAGUUACCUUGACUCCAGAAUCAGUGACCUUGACUCCUGAAUCCAGUGACCUCAGUAAAUACAACCUACUUUCCCUGUAUAUCAUUCGGUCAUUGUACAAUAAAAUUGUUCUCUAAUAACAUUCUGAUAUAUUUAUAUAUAUAAUGUGAUAAACAGUGGUUUGUGAUAAAAGUAACUAUUUAAAAUGUUUGGGGUCAUUAAUAGCUGACCUAGCACUUUUUUUAAACUACACAAGUUUUUCCCUACAGCACCUCAUUGCUUUUUCCUUUAUAUUUGUCAUUUAGUUCCACAAAUUGAAUACUAUGAUCUUAUUUAUUAUUAACUAUCUUGAUGAAAAUAUACACUAAACAAGAAAAUAACCAAAAAUAUCAGGUUUUGUAUGAGGUAAAACAGAAAGUUGGUUUUACACGAGGUAAAAAGG